ensembl:lincRNA
UGACGAUGAAAGCGCAAUCAUGGCCACAGCGUCUCUGUGGGAUCUCACUGCCUUUCGCCUGUGGGAUUGACUCCAGGGACAGACGCAGAGCACGGCUCCCAUCGCUCAGAGUGUCAAUCAAAAGCACCUGCUGUGUAAGGAGUCAAGGAGAAGGAACGGCUGAGACCCAGUGGGGCGGGGACUCCAGGGUGCCCCGGAGACUGGUUCCCCAAAGUGGUGCGAGGAGAGAAGUGGGCAGACCCUUGUGGUUUGGUGGGAAAAGAGUGGUGGGUUUGGGAGCCCAGGGAAAAGAUGGGCCCCAGGACUCCUGCCACUCCUCUCCCACUAGGGAUGAAGAGUUCUCAGAUGGUGAUAGAGAAACGGCUCAUGUGCACUAUUUUCUUCGCCCCGGCUGGCAGGAAGAAGGUUUUUAAAAAAUAAAAAAUGAAGAGAGUGGAUGCCCCUUCAUUUACUGGCUUCCCCGGGCCCAGUCUUCCCCAGCUCCUCUGUCCCAGGCUGCUGAAGUCGAAACUCAGAACGGGAGCCAGGAGCCCUUGGCCCUCGGGCACGUUUCCGUGGGCCGUCGCGGGAGCCCGGCAAAGUGACGGCAGAAGCCACCCUUCUGUGUCAACGGGCCUGGGCAGCAGUGCUCUGGAUCCAGGGUGGGAACGACAGGAGAUUGGGCCACAGCUCUGCGACCUCCUCGGGACAGGAGCAGCAUGCUCUGGUGGGAGUGGGACCCCAGAGUUCACGUGCUGGGGGCCUAGACCCCGGCACAGCAGGGCUGAGAGGUGGGACCUCCCGGGUGUGGAUGUCGGCGAGGGCUGAGCCCUUGGAAAUGGGUCAACACAUCGUCUCUGCCGCGGGUUUUCCUGGUGAAAGGACGGCGGGCUCCCCCCCCUUCUCUCACUUGUGCCUGCGCUUGACCUUCGCCUUCUGCUCUGGAACGGCACAGCAAGAAGCCCUUGCCAGUUGUGGGCCCCUCGACCUGGGGCUGCCGGGCUUCGGAACCCCAGGCAGGAAUCUCUACCCUUUCUAUACUGUCCAGCCUCCGGAAUCUGAGAGCCGGGCGGUGGCACCCACCUGUGACCCCGGCAGCUUGGAUGAGGCGGUGGAACGCACGGGUAAGAGAGUGGGCCCCCUGUGCUGACCCCACAUCCUUUCUUUCCCAAGAAUCAGUUUACCUGCAGCCCUGCCCGGCCUCAGUGGACAGGACAGUCACAUUCCUCAGCAAACUACCUGCUACCUGCAGGAGAAACGCAGGCCCCAAAUAAUGUCCAUACGAGGAACCCGUUACCCUCAAGGGGGAGACCUUUGAGACCUGAAACUCUGGGAGAUAAGGAUUGUCCCCCCAACCAUAAAAUCUGUAGGAAUAUAUGGGGACUUGAAAGUCUGAUGUCACCCUGCUGUCAGUCAAAAGCCAAGAGGUGGGCCAGGGCAGAACUCUCUGGAAAUUUCUCUGGGGUCCCCAAUAAAACUGGAGUGCGGGAGAGGCAUAGGGUCCCUCUCUUCUCUGAAAGGACUCACCCUCUCCCUUGAGAGUGUCCCCUUCCCCUUUCCUAACCCUUCAAUAAACUCAUGCCUGUUACC